UACGGAGGGGGCUAGCGUUGUUCGGAAUUACUUGGCGUAAAGCGCACGUAGGCGGCUUUGUAAGUUAGAGGUGAAAGCCCGGAGCUCAACUCCGGAAUUGCCUUUAAGACUGCAUCGCUUGAAUCAUGGAGAGGUGAGUGGAAUUCCGAGUGUAGAGGUGAAAUUCGUAGAUAUUCGGAAGAACACCAGUGGCGAAGGCGACUCACUGGACAUGUAUUGACGCUGAGGUGCGAAAGCGUGGGGAGCAAACAGG
rnacentral:rRNA from 1 species